rnacentral:rRNA from 1 species
GCUUACGGCCACACCGGCCUGAGUACGCCCUGAUCUCGCCUGAUCUCGGAAGCUAAGCAGGGUCGGGCCUGGUUAGUACUUGGAUGGGAGACCGCAUGGGAAUACCAGGUGCUGUAGCUU